AGUGCCCUACGGGGCGCAGCAGUGGGGAAUAUUGGGCAAUGGGCGCAAGCCUGACCCAGCAACGCCGCGUGAAGGAAGAAGGCUUUCGGGUUGUAAACUUCUUUUCUUGGGGACGAAGAAAGUGACGGUACCCAAGGAAUAAGCCACGGCUAACUACGUGCCAGCAGCCGCGGUAAUACGUAGGUGGCAAGCGUUAUCCGGAUUUAUUGGGUGUAAAGGGCGUGUAGGCGGGAUUGCACGUCAGAUGUGAAAACCACGGGCUCAACCUGUGUCCUGCAUUUGAAACU
rnacentral:rRNA from 1 species